rnacentral:rRNA from 1 species
UACGAAGGGGGCGAGCGUUGUUCGGAAUUAUUGGGCGUAAAGAGCGCGUAGGCGGUCCGAUAAGUCGGCUGUGAAAGUCAGGGGCUCAACCCUUGAAAGCCGGCCGAUACUGUCGGACUAGAGUCCGGAAGAGGCGAGUGGAAUUCCCGGUGUAGCGGUGAAAUGCGCAGAUAUCAGGAAGAACACCCGUGGCGAAGGCGGCUCUCUGGGACGGUACUGACGCCGAGACGCGAAAGCGUGGGGAGCGAACAGG